AGAAAAGAGACUAAAAUAUUCAGAUCUGGUACUAGCCCUGAACAGGGCUAGCUCCAGCUUUUUUGCCACCCCAAGCGGCAAAGAAAAAAAAGAAGCAGGACCUGCCGCCGAAUUGCUGCCGAAGACGUGGACAUGGCGCCCCAAUCAUGGACAGAGAGCCGCUCCAAUCACGGACAGAGAGCAGCCCCUUUCUAUUGGCUGCCCCAGGCACCUACUUCCUUCACUGGUGCCUGGAGCCGACCCUGGCCCUGAACAUGUGGUUUGGAGCUAGCCAUCAAUCUGAACUAGCCUGGGCAAUGUCAAGUGCUAGAAGGAGAAGGAAAGAAGAAGCCUCACUUGAACGAGCAGAGGACCUCUGGAGACUUGUGUUCCUAGCGUCUCCAGAUACGACCAAGGCCUUUCAGGAUAGUUGGGCAAUAGACUAAUUUAUAGAUCCUCAGCUGCACUUGGACUUUCAGAUCAAGAACAGUAAAAGGAAUGCCAAAGACAUUCUGAGAGGCUGUGCAAUUUGCUACAGAACUUGAAUCAUUUCUUGCAGCAGUUCAUAAGAGGAAGCAGCUGCUAGUGAUGAAGAAGCUGAUCACCAUGAGCCCUGGUCAUUAUCUAUCCCUUGAGAGUCUUUGUAAAGGUCCAAAUUUCAAAUAAACAGAACACUAUAAGACAGACUGCCCCAGAAGGGGAGAGCCGGCUGGAGGACCAAGGCACAAGACGAGGCAGGCUACUGCAGAGGCAGAGCAGCCAGUGGUCACAGACCCCACGGGUGACAGAGCCGCCAUGCCACGCCUGGCCACAAGGAGGCACGAGCAAUGAGUCAACCCUUUCGCAACUGGUGGAGAACGGGGGAGAGGGGGAAGAAGCGACUGACCCAGAUGGUCUAAUAGCCGUGACCUAUAGCCAUGGGUUGGUGAGUCAGAUAACAUGGACUUGGAGCGUCUUCUCAAGCGGAUGAAUGAGAAGCAGCCCAGCAGCAGCAAAGCUCCUGCAGCAAACAGCUGGUCUGGCACCUAGGGGCACAACAGCAGCAAAGGUGGGUCCAGCAGGUAGUAGCACUGAUGCAGGGUCUCCCUGGGUCUGAUAUCCAGGGGCUAUAGGCCCCGGCCCAAUGGCCCCACCUGUGCCAGUGAAAUUCGCAAAGAUAGGUCCUGAGGAGGCCUGGAGGCCUUCCUGAUAUCAUGUGAGCGAGAGGCAACAGCAGCCCAGUGGCCCAGUGGCCACCUGACCAGUGGGCACCUUAUCUGACAGGACCAGCAUAGGCUGCAUAUUAGGGGCUGGAUGUGGCAUCUGUCCAAGACUAUGGGAAGGUGAAAGCAGCCAUACUCCACGACCUUGAUAUCAUGGAGGGGACCUUCUGACAGAGGUCCCGUGGGGAGAAAUAAUCCCGGGAGCUGAGCCCUGCUUGGUCACAGAAAUUAAGAGGCCUAUGCUGGAGGUGGUUAAAGCCAGAGACUCGGACUGGAGUUGAGGUGACCGAGCUCAUCAUGGUAAAGCAGUUCUCUCACAUGCUUCCGGAGGGGGGUAAGGACUAGGUGCUCGACCACUGGCCAGAGUCCCUAGUCGGUGCUGACCAGCUAACAAAAAAUUAUUUAGCUGCAGAAACAGCUCUGGCAGCUUCACAUAAGCAACUGCCUGAGACCAAGGGAAGGCCCAACCAUGGGAACUGGCAAUCAGACAGGGCAGUCUCAGAAACACCAGGCUGCAAAGGGCCCAGCAGGCCGCUGUGCCCUGGAUUGGCUCCCAUUGUGAAAUCCCAGCCCCUCGGGCCCCAGCCCAGACAAAAGCCCUUGAGACCCGCAUGGGCUCCUUUGUUGGAAAGUCAGGGUGUGGGAGCAGACAAGUCACAUAGGGAAGGGCUGCCUCAGACAUAAAGCACAGGGCCAGUAGCCACGCAGCCAACAGUGGAGACUUGCUUUUCAUGUGGGCGCCUGGGUCAUUGGUGUCACAAGUGCCCCUUUAUGGAUUGUGGUUAUGGACAAAUGUGGCUGGCAGAAAGCCAUGCCUGUAAGUGAACCCGAGCAAAAGUAACUGUCCCUGUUCAGAUAAAUGGAACUGAUGUAAUGGGCCUGGUGGAUUCCAGGUGUGGGAAGACCCUGGUCCAGGAUGAUUUUAUCCCAAACCCUGAAGCCCCUGGGUAGACUAUUUUUCUACAGUGUAUCCCUGGAGAGGUUAGACCCUAUCCAAGUGCAUAUGUGAGGCUGACUCUGGGGAAAACACAAAGUCCCUUGUAGUGGGGCUGGCCUCCAUACUAGCCUGUGACGUUAUUGACAGAAUCUGUAACCAUAUAGAUCAUUGUUGCAACCAAAGUCCUGUAGUGGCACCAAAUCUUGUAUAAAGGGGGUCAAAUAAGGUGUCUAAAACAAGGUUAUGGUUUUCUCGUUAUGCUAUCUGUAUAUAUGUAUCAUUCUUGUAGGUGAAGUUAUGAACAUUGGCUCUAUCUUGUCUGUAUUUCAAACUUAUGCUAUGCUUCUGGGUGAGGCCCCAGAUAAGUUGGUGUCACCUCUGCCUGCUUGAUGGACCAUUAAGGACCAUCAGCUAUACAAUUGACCCAUUGAGAGAAGGCAGACACACCUUGUGACUCAUCAAGGUAUGCAGGGACAUGACUAUGGACAGAACUCUGAGGUUUUUCCAUGCCAUGUGAUGGACAGCUUGUCCUUGGGACAAAGAAAGCAGAGACCACAUGGCAAGAGACUAUAAAAAGCAGCUGCAGCUCGUCCAUCUGGUCUUCAAUCCUGCUUCUUAUCUCUGGAAAGACUUUGCUACAAAUGGAAGCUCUACACAGAGGACUGAUGACCCCUCCUGUCUGUGGAUGUACUCCAGAGACUUGAUUUGAACCUGCAGUUUAUUCCAUCACUGCUACAAGCCUGAACCAAGAACUUUGCCAUUACUGUAUGUAAUUGAUUCCAUUUAACCAUUUUGCUCUCAUCUAUAUCUUUUUCCUUUUAUGAAUAAACCUUUAGAUUUUAGAUUC